CGCUGGCGGCGCGUCUUAAGCAUGCAAGUCGAACGGCAAGAUUGGUGCUUGCACCGAUCCUAGAGUGGCGGACUGGUGAGUAACGCGUGGGUGACGUACCCUAAGGAUGGGGAUAGCUGGUAGAAAUAUCAGAUAAUACCGAAUAUCCUUAUUGUUGUUAGAGGACAGUAAGGAAAGGAGCUUUGGCUUCGCCUAAGGAUCGGCCCGCGUACUAUUAGCUAGUUGGUGAGGUAACGGCUCACCAAGGCGACGAUAGUUAUCCGGCCUAAGAGGGUGAACGGACACAUUGGGACUGAGAUACGGCCCAGACUCCUACGGGAGGCAGCAGCUAAGAAUAUUCCGCAAUGGAGGAAACUCUGACGGAGCGACGCCGCGUGGAUGAUGAAGGCCGGAAGGUUGUAAAAUCCUUUUAAGCAAGAAGAAUAAACUUUACAGGGAAUGGUAGAGUGGUGACGGUAUUGCUUGAAUAAGCAACGGCUAAUUACGUG
rnacentral:rRNA from 1 species